GGGUGCGCAAAAGUAAAGGGGUUUCUUCUUAUGGCGAGUUUCUUAUUUGCAAGGUUAAGAGCUUUUUUAAUAGCUGGACAUUUUGCUAAAUGGUAAGGUACUGCAACGUAAUUAUCAUUUUUGCUUAUGGGUGGUUGCUGUAUAUUAGGAGCCUCUUCAUUUUGUUGCACUCUUGCUUCGUUGAUGGCGUUUUCGACGUUUUUCUUGAUAGAGAGUGGUGGGCCUUUGUGAUAGCCAUGCUUUCUUCCGUGCUCAAGGAUGUGCUGCACUUCUCGGUUGUGGUCGAUGGGAUCCGUGCAGUGCAGGUGCGCUCUGUUGAAGUGUGAACGGAGUGCGGCUUUUUUAAGCUUUAUCGGGUCUUUUG
rnacentral:lncRNA from 1 species